UCAAGCAACAGGCCAACUAAGCCACACGACGUGUAGACAAAAAGCAAAGUUCUCAGCUUGCCAGGAAAAAGGCCAGUGGUUAGACUGUGGAUUCACUGAGGUAAUGUCAUCCCAAGAAGCCUCUUAAGAAACAAACAGCUCAUCCAUGAGCCCCACACAUAAUCAAGACGGGGAAGAAAAAGAAGUUUAAUUGGACUUACAGUUCCACAUGGCUGGGGAGGCCUAGGAAUAAUCGCAGGAGGCAAAAGACACUUCUUACAUGGUGGUGGCAAGAGAAAAUGAAGAAGCAAAAGCAGAAAUUCCUGGCUCUGCAAGGAGAUGAGCAGGCGAGGAGACAAGUAGACAGACGGCAGAACAACACAGCAGAGAAAGAGAGAAGAGGAGGGAC